rnacentral:tRNA from 1 species
AUUUAUAUAGUUUAAUAAAAACAUUAUAUUUUCAUUAUAAAAAUAGAAUUAUCUUAUAAAUA